AGCAGCGGGUCAACCAGGCCGCCGACCACAAUCAGAACAGGAUCGUCGUUGUGCGUUCGUCGGCGGCGACGUCGGCGGAGGGCAGCCCCAACGCCCGCGGCAUCGGCCUCAAUGGAAAUGUCGUGGCCGCCGCCACACCGACCCCCAGCCCCCCGUCCGGGACCACGGGAGCGAAACAUCUGCGACCUGGAGUCAACGAAGCUAAGCGCGAGGAGGCUGUCGAUCGGCUAAACCGGCUCAACAAGGACGACUGCGAGCUCAAAACGGAGCUCCUUAGCACCGACGCCUUGCUCACUGAUGGAGAUCCGAUCAAGUUGCCGGAAAAUUUGGAGACUUUACCCCGUGCGGAGCAUUUU